GUUUAUCGACCUACUAAGCUUACUUGUCAGGAUUGUUCGAGGGUAGAACCAUGCAGGGUUAUCUGCAACUAAAUGUGCAUUAAUCUGUUGAUCAAAUACCCAUCUUAGUUACAGAUAUCAAGAGUGAGGAAAACAUUGAGAUCGAGGUCACUGUGAUGAAGAAUGCAACCUUAAUCAACACCACACUGGAGGAGGUGAACAGGGGUCUUCAGGACAAAAAUUGUCAGCUUGAAGAGAAGAAUGUCGCUCUACAUCAAAAACUCCACAGCACUGAGAAGAUGUAUAGACAGACUCUAAACGAGCUGUAAGUGGAUUUUGAUAUUAGUUUGAUCAUAUUAGGAUUUGUUCUCAUUCACAUGACAUGCACAUUGGUGUUUGUCUUUUCACAGGACCAAAGCCCUGAUUCAAGGCAAACAUGAGGAAAAGCAACAUGUAAGUAAGCCUAAGACAGCCUGCCAAAUACUGAUCCAUAACCGCUCAAUAGUAAGCUAAACUACGAAGUACUUAAACCAAACCAUAAGCCCCAGUAUCAACACUCGUAUUGGGUCACGUGAUAGGAUGUCUUUGCACACAUUUCUAACGCAAUUUUUGUUCUCUCUUCAGAUUGACACGCUACAAGAGAAAAUCCAGACCAUAUCUGUAAGUAGAACAUUCACUUUAAAGUUAGCUACUGUAGUUGCACUAAGGUGUUAUUAGCUACGUUUUGCUAGUUACUCUGUGUCUUGCUGUACACUAAGAUAUACAGUGUUGCUUGAAUGUAUGUGAACCCUACAGGACUGUUCAUUAUUUUGCUAUAAAAUCAACAUAUAAAAUCCUUAUCUAAACCCCAAUUCAUAAGAAAAACAU
ensembl:lncRNA